GAGCGUGUGCGUGUGCUUCUCUUCUUCCUCGCGGCUGAUUCCCACUGUUUUUGGUUCGAUUCCAAGUUACUAUAUCACGAAAGCUAAAGGUCGCAGUUAGAUGUUGGUGCUAUUAAAGCGAGAAUGAAGAGUCUCGAGGAUGCCUCUGACGUCAGGAUUGUGUGUGUGUGUGUGUGUGUGUUUCGUGUUUGUCUUUGUGCUACUGCGUUGUGUAUUUUUAGGCAAAACUGUUCACACGAUGUUUCGUAUAUCCAUAACGUGACGUAGAGCUAAAACUGUAUCGCAUAUAGAGGCAGGAAUAAUGGUUGCAUCUUUUGCUUGUUUGUUUUGUUUUUCGUGAAAAAUGCAUCUCUCGAUUUAUCGAUUGAACUCCUGCUUCGAGAGGAAUGGGAUCUGCGUGGGAUUGUUGAAAAAUGCAUUUUCAUGAGACUGGCACCGAAAUCGUGUGCUGAAUGGAGCUUCGUGACUGCGGGAGCUGAUUGAUGUUUUCAUUGAAAAAGCUCCUGGGACUCUGGGCAUCUCUUUAUUACGAGGGAUUCGGAGCAGGGGGUUAGACACGAAUGUUUCGCCCGUUCAUGACGAUUUGGCAGGCAGAAUAACUUUGAAUACCUAAACAGCGGUACGAAGAGUACUUCGUUUCGGAAUAACUUUCGUUCGAAACGUCGUGAAUUUGUGGAAAAACAAUAGAAAUCGUGUGGACGAGAGGAAAAAUUCGAAUGCACGAGGGGCCGCGCGAAGAAAAACGAGAUGGGAUACGGGCGACAAAGAGAGAAAGCGAGGCGUUCGAGGAUCCCUCGUUUUUCAUUGAAUUGCUCGCGUACAGUGCCUGGAAUGAAAUCCUCCUUUUUCUCUCUCCGAGCUCAUCCUGCACGGAGAAAAGCUCGUCGACAUUUUUGCUGCUCGCUUUCCCGGGACGCUUGGUUUUUCUGGCUUUCUUCGAUUGGAGCAGCCGAGCAGAGCGUACGGCGAGGCUUGGAAAAGCUUAAAUGAAUUUGAAAUAAUUGUGGCAGGGAUGCGUGCGCGUAAAGUUUAUUAAAAUGGGGCUGCAGAGAGAGGCAGGCGGAGAAAAACGCUCUCCGGUUCUGGGAAAUAAAAGGUCGUGACUGGUCGAUACACGAGUAGAACGAGCCAAGCGGUUAGCGACACAAAACACGCGAGACGCUUUUUUCUCUCACGAGCGUGCAAAGUUGCCAAUCAAAAUUUUAUUUAGUCCAAUUUUUCACAAUCGCGAGAAUAAAAACGUAAGCUCAAUCUCGGAAAGAGCCUUUUACGAAACACUCCGAAUUUAUGAGUGUGCAGAAGGAGUUUUGAAAAAAUGAAUAAAAAAUCAAUCGCGCCCUAGAAAUUUGCUCACACUCAAAGCUAUUUCUGUCUGUGCCCUGUCAACGGUAUCAAAUAUAUAUACAAACACGUCCUGAUACAAGAGACUCUUGUAAAAGGUCGCCAUAUCUCAUUAUC